rnacentral:misc_RNA from 1 species
UUUACUCAACUCACUCCUUCAAUUCUUCUACACUUUAAUUGUAUUUGAUUGUUGGAGAUGUCGAUUGAGAUUGGAAAAUUCAAUCGGAUUCGUUGUAUUGUAAGGAUCAGUCAGAUGCUUCGACAAUGGAAGAAAAGAGCUAUAUCUUCUUCAUCGAAACGCAUAGCUUCUGAUGUACCUGCCGGACACGUGGCGAUCUCG